UUAGGUGAUGAUUCGUUGCAUGCAUUGAGUGUUUACAUUUCAAGGCCAUAUACCUUUAGUAUAUUGAGAUAUCUACCAGGUAUGAACCAAGUGUUAAGGGACCAUAUUUGCGGACAGAUCAAGCAAAGUGUACAUGAAGUAUUUGUCAACUGAAGAAAAGUCUUGCAGAAAACUCUUCCUAAUCCAGACUGGCUCACUAUUAAUUCAUCAGCUAUCAAGUCACACUUUCAGUCUUAUCCAGUCAGAAUAGAUUGUUUCAAGAAAUAUCACUCUCUCUGACACUAACAUGCACACACGCGCACCCACUAUGAAUUUAUUUAAUUCUGUGUAUGAUACAUCUUGUAUGUCUGUGAGGAGGUAAAUGUGAGGCUAGCCAAAGUUAUCUCCCCUUGUUUGAUUCGCCCAUCUCCACAGAUGUCAAAUAACUGGGAACAAACAUUGGUCACCAUACACCCCUCAAGACUUUUCCCACCAAUACAAACACCUAAGUACACCUGUCCUUUUUUUAUCCCAAUUUUGCUAAUGUGCACCACUUUGGUCUCCCGAUCCACAAACUGUCAUGUCAUGACAUCAAUGAUGUACUGUACCUUCCCUACGUCCCCACCCACCCAGUGGACUUUCAGUUCAUGACUGCUUACCUAGUUGUACAUUAUUUGCAAGUACAUUGCAAAAAUCUUUAAGUUCAGUGGUAUGUGCAGGUGUCUGACGCAGUUAUGUAAUUCUUCACUCAAACAGCUUCGUGCGUUGACAUUGCUCAGCAGAGUUGUGUCCCCUUUGCCAUGGUUGAAGUACCAGAUUAGGGACGGUGGUGUAGCCUAGUGGUUAAAGCGUUCGCUCGUCCCGUCAAAGACCCUGGUUUGAUUCCCCAGAUGGGUACAAUGUAUGAAGCCUAUUUGUGGUGGAAAUAUUGCUAAAAGUGGCAUAAAACCAUACUCACUCACCAGAUUAGUCAUCCAUAGUGUCAGUUCUUUGCCAGCAUCGUGUGCCCUUUGGAUUCUUCUGAGGGAUAUGCAUCUGUGACCUGGAUCACAGUGGUCUUUUCUCAGAUAUUACAGUAAUAUCACUGAAAAAUACUAUUCUAACUCACUGAAGGAACUUGAAGCAUCCGAAUAACUGUUGCUGACUGCAGGAUUGUAGAGAGAGUUGAGUUAGUAGCAAGUUGUUCACACAUGUUGGUGUUAGUGUUCCGUGGUUAACUUCUGUUUGUAUAUAUUGUAUUUUAGAAUGUGAUUAGCAGUUCUUUUACUUUGUUUAAUCUUUUACUGAUACCUUAUUUUGCUGUUUACUGUCCUUUGCAUUUUCUGACUUAUUAUAAAUACAUAUCUGUUGCCUAUUUGCAGCUUUUCCAGAAAACCUAAAUACUAUUUGUGAUGUCAGGAAAACAUCUUUGCUUUUUUAGAUGUCAUGAAAGUUUUUGCACCCAUCGUUUUUAAAACUUCAUGUCCACCUAUCAGAAUGGAUCCUGUUGUCCAGAAAUUAGAAUUGAAGCCUUGUGAUCUUACUUUUGACGAUAGCUAUUCAAUUUCAGUUUGCUAAGCAAUGAAGUUAUCAUUUAUUUAAAUAUAUUUAUUCUACCAAA
rnacentral:lncRNA from 1 species